rnacentral:rRNA from 1 species
UACAGAGGUCCCAAGCGUUGUUCGGAUUCACUGGGCGUAAAGGGUGCGUAGGUGGCCAGGUAAGUCUGAUGUGAAAUCUCGGAGCUCAACUCCGAAACUGCAUUGGAUACUAUCUGGCUGGGGGGUCGGAGGGGGGACUGGAAUUCUCGGUGUAGCAGUGAAAUGCGUAGAUAUCGAGAGGAACACCAGUGGCGAAGGCGAGUCCCUGGACGACUCCUGACACUGAGGCACGAAAGCUAGGGGAGCAAACAGG